ensembl:lncRNA
CGGGCCUCGGGUCCUUCUAAGACACGGAGUGGAUCCUUCUAAGACACGGAGUGGAUCCUUCUAAGACACGGAGUGGAUCCUGACCAGUAGACACAGGAGGUGGUGAGACACCGUUUGGAAAGUUGAAGGGACGUAAAUGACCCCGGGGCGGAGGACGGGUGCGCCGAGAGUGGGGACAGAGGCGGAUGGGAGGUGGGGGUGGGCAGCAUGAGGCUGGGCCCCGGGCACAGGGGAGCAGGCGGGCUGACCCAGGACGGGUGCUGAGAACACCCGUGGUCGGUAUGGAACUGGGAAUGUGAACUUCAGGCCCUGAGCUUUGCUCUUUUGAUACUGAAACUAUGGUGUCUCGUAGUUUUAAUCUCCGCCCUUAGAUUUCAUUUCUGUUGGAAGAUGGAAUUUGCGGUGACCCUGGCUGGCCAGCAGUGAGCUUUCAGUGUGGACUGACAUUUUGGCGACUUUGGGAAAAGGAACCUCAUUCACACAAGCCAGGGCUCUGGGAACGGUCGCCCCGCCUUCCCGCCAAGGCUGGGCUGUGACGCUGACCCAGCGCGGCACACAGAUCCCUCUGUCCCCCGCUGGAUGCCCGCCAGGCUGCCGCGGUCUGCGGAGCAAGACCCUCAGUGCGGGAGCCUGGCUCAGCCCUGGAAACCGCGGCUCAACAAAAAGCCUCUGUUGUCCUCGCAACGGUCUUUGCACAGAGAGGGUCCCGGCUGGCCUGGGCUGCAGGACGGAUUCGCAGAUGGACCUGAGAGAAAGCUCUGUAAUUAGAUCAACUGAUGAAGCUUUUCAUCAUAACGAUAAUGUCGGCAACCGCAAACUACUGGAGUCUGCGAAGUGCUGUGCACAUUACCCUGGAGGCCUGGCAGCAGGGUUGGGGGCUGUCAGCUGUUUCACAGGCCCCACCCCAGAUCCAUGCCAGUGGGUAUCAGGAGGAGAAGCCCUGGAGGAACUGGAGGAAGCCAACUGGAGCCUCAGACACGCGAGCAGCUGUGUCCCACUGGGGCGGCAGCAGUGGCCUCUGGAGGAACCUCCAGCUCCUCCUCUGCCACCAGCAUAGCGUCCAGACAGAAGCCAGAACUACCCAUGAAACAUCACGCAGUGUGACAUAACUGGGUCACCGAGUGGUCAGAUAUUUGGUCCGACUUUAUUCUGGGUGUUUCUGGGUGAGAACAGGUGAUUCUGUGCACCUCUCCAGGCGGGCCUUGUCUGAUCAGCGGAGGGCUGCGUCCGGGCACCCACCUGGCUCCUGCCCACUUUCUUCCCGUUCUUCUUGCUGACCAACACGUGUCUUCCGGGCUGGCAGGGAUGUGGUCUGUACCAAGAAUACUGCCCGGCUCAGAGCAAGGGAAGCCACACCUGAGAGGGCAACAGGCAGGAAGGCCAGGGGUCUCCAAACCCAGGAGACAGGCUGCAAGUGUCAGACACUUUUUCUCUCUCUCUUAAGCGGCAGGAGGAAACAAGUGUUAGCUUUUCUCCCUUCUCUAUCCAAAUCUAAAGAGGCUUCUUUUAAAAUUCUGUGUUGCCAUGAUGACACCUGGUUCCACCUGAACUUUUCUCAAACCUGGAGCUAAACAAUGCGUUUUUCUUGUGGAAACGUUUGUCUUAAGCUAUGUUAAUGAACUGUGUAUUUACCCUAGACUCUGUCUUCAAAUCGGUUCUGCCUGAGACUCAGGACCAACUGACAAACCGGCGUUUGUACUCAUGCACUGCUCUCGUAAGCUAUGUUAGUGAGACUGCGUUUGCUUGGAAACUUGCCUUUCUUCAAGAUUCACGUUAAUCGUCUUAUGGCUCAGGAUGACCCACCUGGUGCCAAUGUUAUCUCAAAAUGCAUGUGUGGGUGAGGGGUCUGGUGCCAUUCUCUGAGUUUUGAGACUUUUCCUUUUUCUAAUUAGCAGACCGCUAGUAGCUAUAUAACAUUCAGCUAAAGACUGGCCCGGGGCACUCUUGCUGCCCCCUUCUGAUGUCUAUGUCAGAAGCUUUCUCUAUCUCUUUUAUACUUUAAUAAAACUUUAUUACACAGACGCUCUGAGCGAUCA